GUGCUCAUCUUGGCAGCAUAUAUGCUAAAGUUGGAACAAUGCAGAAAAAAUUAGCAUGGCCCCUGUGGAAGGAUGGCUUGCAAAUCCAAGAGGCGAUCUCUAUUUUU
ensembl:snRNA U6 U6 spliceosomal RNA